CCAGAAUUAACUGAAGGGAGGAAACAUCGUUGAGGAAAUGGCUCCAUAAUAUCUGUCUGUUCACGAUGCAAUGAGUGAGUGCUAAUGCUAGUCACUGCUAGAGAGGAAGUCUAAGGAAAUUCUGAGCCCAGUCACUCAACCUGCAUGGGGAUUAACGCAAAGCUGGCCGGCACCGAACACUCAUGAGAAGGAACAACACGAUAAAUAAUUUAUAUGCUGGAGACGAAAUCCUUGCGAGGUCAUGAGUCACCUGUAGCGCUCUUCCAUAGUUACGCUCCUUGGAUUCAGUGCUGGAGUGAUUAGCAAGAGUGGAAAAGGAUGAAGAGGCAGUCGUAAUGCCCCCAUGAUAAUAAAGUCCCGCAUGCAAUCAUGCACUUUGGGA
rnacentral:sRNA from 1 species